rnacentral:pre_miRNA from 1 species
UGUAGUAGCAAGGAGCUCCUUUCAGGCCAAGACCGAGGGGCGAGGAGCGGCAAGAGCUGCCUAGUCAUGCAUAUUGGUUAAGCUUAACAAACCAAUGUAGUUAGUUUUAAGAAUAACCAUUUGCAUGGCAAGGGAGCAACUACUUCCGCUUAACUUGUCCCGCUUAUUGGACUGAAGGGAGCUCCUCCUUAAAUCAUA